CGACGCGAACGCUGCGAUCCCGGGCUCGGAGGCCGGAAACGUCGCUACGGAGGCGCACGGCCGCCCGCGCCGCGGCUCUUCGUUGUUGUUCGCCGAGGCCGCGCCGCCAGCGCAGACAUGGCCAAGUGGGGCCAGGGGGACCCGCGCUGGAUCGUGGAGGAGCGGGAGGACGGCACCAACGUGAACAACUGGCGCUGGUGCGGCCGGGCGGGGGCGGGGCCGGCGCUUCCGCGCCUCCUCCCUCCGGAGCGCUGGACGGGUUUCAGGAAGUGAUGCAGCAUCCCUGAGGGUACACUGUGGUACCUCAAGGCCAUCAAGCUCAUGUUGAGGCACGUCCAGGGCAGAGUAAAGCCGUCAGCCUGUGAGCGGCUUAUUGAGGAAGCCCUGGCCUCUCCUUUCCCGGCAUUGUCCCCAUAGACACAUCAGGGACUUCUCUCGCCUCAUUUCCACUCGCUAAAAUGGGAACAUUUAUUUGGGAAGAUUGCAUGAGGACAGAGCGGGAUGCCACCAGCUCCGUGAUCUCCUGGUGGGCAUCAUCGUGGAGAAUGAGGCUGGCGGCGGUGAGAUCAGUGAGCUGAAGCAGGUGGAAGGUGAGGCUUCUUGCAGCAGCUGCAAAGGAAAGCUGAUUUUCUUCUAUGAGUGCAACAUCAGUCUGAGCUGGAAAGAUCCUGUGUUCCUUGCUUCCUCUCUUAUCAUCGUUGGUGAUCUGAUGCCUUUUCGUGGUGGUGUAAUUAAAGAAUCUGGUGCACAGCACAAGGAAUUGAUUGAAAUAUCCAACCUUUCUGAAGAAAAUGAAAUAGAUGACACCGAGAAUUUACAAUGGGAAUGAUUUUACCAACGAAAGCCAUGGGAACCCAGGAAUUGCCAGUUAAAAAGAAACUGAGAACGCCUUGCAGAUCCAGGCUUCAUCUCCAGUCGGGCUGGGUGUAAGGAUCCCCACCGUGGCCCCGCACAUGACGGAACUCUUCGACGCCACUAGAGCAAUUGUACAGCGUCUUCACUGUGAAAGAUUUGGUGCAAAAAUUUUCUAAAUCUGCUGAAUUAGAAGCUGAAAAGGGAGGGAAAUUCCAAAUGUUUGAUGGGAACAUCACUGGUGAAUAUACAGAAUUGGUAAGUAAUCUUUAGGGUUAAGGAAAAGUAAGCUGGGACUGACUCUUCUGUUAAUAUUGCUUAAUUUUUUAAUUUUUAUUUAAGUAGUCUAGUCUUUACACCCAGCAUGGGGCUUGAAGUCAUGACCCCAAGAUCAGGAGUUGCAUGCUCUUCCCACUGAGCCAGCUGGGCGCCCCAAUAUUGCUUUUUACAAUCCAUGCUCUAAUAACUUGCUUUGGUUUUUUAUCUGGGCUCACAGAAACUUGAGAACAUUAUAACGUUGGUUGUAAAGUUAUGUAUACUUGGUUGUAGAACAAAUAACAAAUGUUACAUAUACUAAGUAAUGAUAAAGGUGAAGACUUAGUUGCACAGUAAUUGUGCUAAUGCUUACAGUUUUGGAAGAAAGAAUUCCUAAUUCUUGCUCUACCAGUUUCACAUUUGGCCACCUCAAUCCCUAGGGUCUGCAUUGCCUCACCCUCGACAUCAACUCUGUUUGACCAGUGAUCAGUGUCACUGCACUUGUGUCCGUGAGGUUAGCGCUGUUAGGGAUGCUCUGGCACCCAGGAGCGGUGCAUUUCCAGUGGUGCUGCCGUAUAACCUGCAACAUGGAGCUGUACUGUUGGUUCAGUACUUCCAGUGCUCAGGGAUUUUAAUGAGAGGAUUUUCUGAAAGCCGUCUUAAGGGAAUUUCCCCUUUGUUUUUAGUUGACAAAAAGAUCAUCAUGAAAUGGAGAUGUAGGAACUGGCCCGAAGGUAUGUUAUUAGUAUUCUUUGUUAUGAGUCUAGAAACACUCAAGCUCGCCCCCACGCCCCAGCCCCUGACACACUAUAAAAGAAACGAGUAGUACUGUAUGGACAGUUGUCCUUUUCGUAAUGCAGUAAUAAGCUUAUUUUCUUUCUAGAACACUAUCCUACAGUUGCACUGCGUUUUGUGCAUACUCCAGGGCAAACUGAAUUGCACUUAGACUGUAAAGGAGUUCUUGUCUGUAAAGAGAGCAUGAAAUUGUUGGCAGAAGCAGCAUUUUGAAGAAAUAAAUAAAAGGUUUACUGAAGCUGACCACCCUAAAUAGUUGAAUUAGAAGAUUUUACAAGGGUAUUACUUUUUGUAAGCAGGGAAAGGGUCAAGUUUACCUCUUCCCUCUUAAUUUAUAUUGGAUGAAAUCCAUGAGCUUAUACAGAAUUCAAAGCACUGUUUGAAUCUUUACUACCACUAGACUCUCAUUGGGUUAAAAGUAGCAAGCAGUCUGGAAAUUCAGUAUCAACCUUACCUCCCAUCACUGCUCCUCUGGGAAGAGACUGGGCCUCUGAGUACAGCUGACUUUCCCCACUAAAGCUUGUCCGAGGCAAGCUACUGUCAGCUGUAUUUUUAGUGCAGUCAGACAAAAAAGAAAUGGCACGUCGAUACUAUUCUUUUAUUUUACACUUCAGGGUUUUUAAGGUCUGUAGCUCUUAGGUAGCAAAGCAGCAGCGUGUCGCGUGCGGAAGCGUGUUGACGUGAGGUGCGCUGGGCUGUACCAUGAGGCCGCUCCCCACAGCAGUUCUGC